rnacentral:tRNA from 2 species
CGAGGUGUAGCGCAGUUGGCUAGCGCGCUUGCUUUGGGAGCAAGAUGUCGGGGGUUCGAGUCCCUUCACCUCGACCA